rnacentral:lncRNA from 1 species
AACAAUAAUUUUCUGAUUUAGUAAAAUAAAUAAUCAUUGAGAGUUUAACAUAGAAAUUAUAGGUAGUUGAAGUCUUGAAGACACUAUUAAAAAUCCGCUGAAUAUUUAUUUUCAAUUACACUUCUAAUAAAUCAAUUUUAACUCGUGAAAAUUCGGUGAACAGUGAUGUGGCCACUGCGAAGACAACCAUCAGUCGUCAAAGUACAACGCCAUGACGACUGCACACCAGUCUCUGAAUUUUCGUUUUCGGUCACCUAAAACUUAAAACUACUUUAUAUCGUGGCUAAAUAGACUAGAUAUUUAGCCAUGCCUAAUACGUUAUACAAUAUAAAUACAACAAGUGGUAAUAACCAAUAGUGGAAUGUUAUUUGUACACAAAUAUAUGUUUACUCAUAUAAUAUUUGUUACAUAAAUGCGUGCAUUAACAUGAACAGCUCAGUUAAUGAAUUUGAUGAAAAUAAGGUGAAAUAUUAAGUAAAGAUUUAACAAGUAAUAAUUCAUCUCAAUACAACUGUCAACUAAAUGUCUCCCUAGCAGAUUUCCAGAAUUUCAUUACAAUUAACAGUCGAUGAAUUUGCUUCUAGAAUGGAAUUUAGAAUCAGUAUACACAUCUUGUAUAGUUCCUAUUAUUCAAAACAUUGCUAGUCAAACGAUGCCAUAUCAAAAAACACAGUAUUUCAGUCCUAAUGAGGUUAAAUACUUAACAAAUAAUAAUGUUUUGAACAAAAGUUCAUAUGUUGAUGGGAUAUUGUUUGUGACAUAAUCAAAAAUGGCUCUGCAAUGACAGUUUUAUAGUAUUCUAUAGCCAGUACAAUUUGUUGGAACUUUUCAUUCUUAAAUCAAGGAUAUACAUUUUAGUAAUGAUGCCUUGAAUGUUUUAACACCAUUUGAACAAUGACACAAUGUGGAUGAAAAUUAUGGAUUUAUUUGGUUGAUAUUGAUAUCCAAAGAAAAUAUACAGGCAAUACUAAUUUAAAUUCAACUUUUGAAAAAUCAUUCAAUAUUACGCUUCACGAUUUGACGCCAGAUAGAUAUUGACUUAAACAGAAAUCAGAAUAUAUUAUACAAAUUUAACAAGUGUCUUUAAAAGGCAUUAAAAUAUUGGAUGAAUGGAUAAAUAAUAAUGGCAACACACCAGAUUUAACCAAUAAUUCAAUUAAUAAGAUAAUUAUAUACUCGUUACAUAGUCUGCUAAUUCCUUGAUCAAAAAAAUUAACAUGAGAAGAGAAUGCGAAAAAAUACUAUGUAUAAUAUGGAAUGAAUGAUUCCUCAAAUGCAAUCGUAAAAUCUAAGCAAACACGAUUGGAUAUGGAAGCACUUUUAAAUAAACGUUGCAGAAAGAGAAUCCCAUGUAUAGAUAAUAUUUUAAGAAUGGAUAAGCUACCGGAACUUAAAACCUCUUGCUGGAGUGAGAGCACUAUAUAAAAGCAGUCAUUCUCUCAUCCAUACUCCGGACCACGACCCCUUAUUUUGUUAAAAUAGGAAUGGUCUAUCCAUUCUUAUAUUAUCUAUAGUCCUAUCCAGCCAUGUAUAUUAAUUU